UACGUAGGGGGCAAGCGUUGUCCGGAAUCAUUGGGCGUAAAGCGCGUGUAGGCGGUCCGGUAAGUCCGCUGUGAAAACUCGAGGCUCAACUUCGAGCUGUCGGUGGAAACUUUCUGGCUAGAGUCCGGAAGAGGAGAAUGGAAUUCCUGGUGUAGCGGUGAAAUGCGCAGAUAUCAGGAAGAACACCCGUGGCGAAGGCGGUUCUCUGGGACGGUACUGACGCUGAGACGCGAAAGCGUGGGGAGCGAACAGG
rnacentral:rRNA from 1 species